GUCACUAUUUUUGCCAAGAGCAAAUACACUGUCCAACAGAAAGGUUGUUUUGUAUUGUAUUGUAUUUUUAGGCUCAUUUAAACUUAAUCGAAUGCCUCAAAGAGAACCAGACAGGCUUGAAUAAGCCAAAAAUGCAAGGAAACAUAUCAACAUGGUGAUUAAAGAAAAGUGUUUGGUUUUUUGGAGAGAGAGAGAGAGUGAGAGAGAGAGAGAGAGAGAGAGAGAGAGAGCUGGCUUUCAUGAUGAUUCCUUAUGAGAAAGAAACAACCAGUUUUAAAUAUACUGAGUUUUCAUUUGUUUUAGUCAUUUACAUUGCAUUUCAACCACCUUUACUUAACACAUAACUGCCAAUUUGCCUAUUGUUGAUUUAUGUUACAGCUGCAUUAGACAGGUUUUGAAAAAACAGAGUCAUAAUGAUUCAGUCAUCAUUAGUCACUCAUCUGUAAUGACUGUAUUUCUGUAGUGUCUCUCCCGUCACGUAUACCCUGCUGUCUGAACAUGCCAUGGUGUAAACACUUGGGGGUGUGCUGUUACAGGAAAAUAAUCCACGAUGGCAUGGUGUUAUGAAGUGGAGUUACUGUUCCCAUCUCAAAGCUGAUUAUUUUCCAAUAACAGCAUGUCCUGAAGUGUUUAAUGUCUCUUAUAGCUCAGCAAUUUGCUGACACUAACAAUGAUUGUUUUAUUAAUGAAUGACGUGUCAUACUUUUAAUCCAUUUAUAGUUAUGUUUGUUGACGCGGAACAUCCAUGAGAUGAAAUUAGUUCCUGUUAUUAUAUAUGUUAUAUGUUAUGUAUGUUAUAAACCUUUAUGAGGCGUUCCGUCACCAGCCUCUCUCUCAGCCUUUUUCUCUCUUGAAGUUAAUCAAUCAAAACAUGUCUUGCUACUGAGAAACCACAAAAACUUUCCCACAGUGGAAAAACAUGGAAGGUGAAUGGUGAUGGAAAAAAAAAGUGUUCAGAGUGGAGAGUCCUUUUAUAAAUGCAUCAUCAUUGUUCAGCUGACAUCUUUAAGAGAUCAGGUUUGAGUGAGAAGUAAGUUUAUACAUUCCGUUACUCCUGGAUGCUUUUUUCCCCUUAUAGAUGUAGACUAUCCUUGCUCAUAAUCAUUAAGUCCCCCAUUCAGGCUUAACCUGUGGAGACGCAGUUGCAGUGAGUGUUUUUACAGAGUCGACAGGAGGCCAAUCCCACAAGAAUGAGAACCUCUCCAAAAGUUUUGUCUGUGAAGUGGCUGUUUUGAAAGUCGGCUCAGCGUGUCAGCUUUGAUUUGAUCACAAAUGGGCGUAACAGAAUGCACACAGAAGCCUACAAUCUCUAGCCUGAGAUCCAGAUCUGAAGCUGAUCUGUCUCCUGGACUCCAGAUUCCUUGAAUAACUUGUCUGCAAGGUUUCAGAUGACAUAACGGGGCACAGACCUCGGCAGUUGCAUGAGAACCAGCCAAACUGAGUGUACUAUUUGUAGAGAUAACACAAGGAAGUCAGAGGAAUGGAAGAGGCUGGAUGGGUGGUAGACGUUACCUUGUGUAUUAUGGGAAUGCAAAGCACAAGAUUAAAAUCUCCAUUCCUGCUUGAUCCAGUUGGGAAAUUAAUCCUGAAAAAACAAGUAUGCUGGCGCCCUGCUGCCCCUCCAGCAUGGGGCACAUUGAGGGCAGCGUAUCUCAGCCUGACUCUCACUGAGUUCCUGUAAGAGCGGGUGUGGUGUCCCAUCUGUGGUGUGUUCCAGCCUCACACCCAGUGUUCCCGGAUGGGCUCCUGGAUUCACGAUGACCCAGUCCAGGAUGGAGCAGUUAUUAAAGGUAAAUAAAUUACAGGUUGAAUAGAUUAUUUAAUUAAUUGUAGGGAUGGUUGGAAGUUUGAAUCCUUCCUCAGCCCUGUGUGUGUGGAGUUUGUAUGUUCUCCCAUUGCUUCUGGGGUUUCUUUCAGGUGCUCCCAGUCUUCCAGUCCAAAAACAUGUACUGUAGGCUGACUGGCAUUUCCAAAUUGUCCAUAGUGUGUGAAUGUGUGUAUGAUUGUGCUCUGUGAUGGGUUGGCACCCUGUCCAGGGUAUCCCCUGCCUUGCUCCCAGAGUCUCCUGGGAGAUGCUCCAGGCUCCCUGUGUAGGAUAAGCGGUAUUGAAAAUGGAUGGAUGGAAGUAAUUGUAGGAAAGAGAACAAUAACCCAUGGAC